GACGAACCGUGCGAACGUUGUUCGGAUUCACUGGGCUUAAAGGGCGCGUAGGCGGGCGGUCAAGUCAGGGGUGAAAUCUUUCAGCUCAACUGGAAAAGUGCCUCUGAUACUGACUGUCUCGAGGGAGGUAGGGGCAUGUGGAACUUCCGGUGGAGCGGUGAAAUGCGUAGAUAUCGGAAGGAACGCCGGUGGCGAAAGCGACGUGCUGGACCUCUUCUGACGCUGAGGCGCGAAAGCCAGGGGAGCGAACGGG
rnacentral:rRNA from 1 species